rnacentral:misc_RNA from 1 species
AGUCGUAACAAGGUUUCCGUAGGUGAACCUGCGGAAGGAUCAUUAAUUAUGUUAAAGCGCCUUACCUCUUAGGGUUUCCUCUGGGGUAAGUGAUUGCUUCUACACUGUGAAAAUUUGGCUGAGAGACUCAGACUGGUCAUGGGUAGACCUAUCUGGGGUUUGAUCGAUGCCACUCCUGGUUUCAGGAGCACCCUUCAUAAUAAACCUAGAAAUUCAGUAUUAUAAAGUUUAAUAAAAAACAACUUUUAACAAUGGAUCUCUUGGUUCUCGCAUCGAUGAAGAACGUAGCAAAGUGCGAUAACUAGUGUGAAUUGCAUAUUCAGUGAAUCAUCGAGUCUUUGAACGCAGCUUGCACUCUAUGGUUUUUCUAUAGAGUACGCCUGCUUCAGUAUCAUCACAAACCCACACAUAACAUUUGUUUAUGUGGUAAUGGGUCGCAUCGCUGUUUUAUUACAGUGAGCACCUAAAAUGUGUGUGAUUUUCUGUCUGGCUUGCUAGGCAGGAAUAUUACGCUGGUCUCAGGAUCUUUUUCUUUGGUUCGCCCAGGAAGUAAAGUACAAGAGUAUAAUCCAGCAACUUUCAAACUAUGAUCUGAAGUCAGGUGGGAUUACCCGCUGAACCUAAGCAUAUCAAUA